rnacentral:lncRNA from 1 species
GGGACAGACAGUAGCCAAAAUAAGUAAGCAAUUAUAAUGUAUUUUCAUAGUGUCUAGUGUUAAAUAGAAAAACAUAAAGCAAGGAAUUGGGAUAGAAAAUUUCAGGAGGGAAGCUGAAACUAGAUAGACAAGGUAUCCAGGGAAGGCCUCACUGAGAACUUGGCUUUUGAGUCUCACCUGAAGGCAAUGGGAGAACUGACCCUGUAGCUGUCUGGGGAAGGAGCAUUCCAGAUGGAGGGACAGCACGUGCUGAGGCCCCAAGACAGGUUUAGGCCUGGCAUGUUUGAGGAGCAAGGAGGAUGUUAUCAUGUCUGGAGCUGAGUGAACAAGGCAGAGAAAAGCAGGAGGUGGUUUCAGAGAUGUAAUGGGGAUGAGGGAGAGAGGCAGACAGCUUAUAGCCCUGUAGGUUUCAAAAUGCAAUUUGGCUUUUACAUUGAGUGUGAUGCAGAGCCAUCCAUGUAUUUAUAGUGGAGGGCAUACAAGAUUUGUCUUAGUUUUACAGGAUCACUCUGACAACUUGCAGAAUAGUUUUUAUUAGUAUAUGAUGAAUAAAGGGAGAAUAAUUAGUAGGCUAUUCCAAUUAUGUAGAUUACAGAUAAUGGUGGGUUUCAGUACCCUGAUGGUAGU